GCAUUUAUGGUUUGUAUUUGGGUGUCUGUCCCCUCCAAAUCUCAUGUUGAAAUGUAAUCCCCAGUGUUGUAGGUGGGGCAUAGUGGGAAUUUUCUGGGUUAUGAAGGCAGAUCCCUCAUGAAUGGCUUGGUGUCCUCCCUGCAGUAAUGAGUUCAUGAGAGAUCUGGCUGUUUAAAAAAGGCUGGCACCUCUGCCUCUCUCUCUCUCACUCCCUCUCUCACCAUGUGACAUGGCCACAACUGUAAGCUUCCUGAGGCCCUCACCAGAAGCAGAUACCAGCACCGUAUUUCUUAUAUAGACUACAGAACCAUGAGCCAAAUAAACCUCUUUUCUUUACAAAUUACCCAGCCUCGACCAUUCCUUUACAGCAACACAGACUAACACAAAGUUGUUUGAUAAAAUGUUGCCUUUUCAUAAAUGUAUGUGUCUAUAGGGUCAUGACAUAAAAUAAGUCUCUUACUUUGUCAAAAAAAUUUUGAAAGUCACUAGAUAACAAGAUAUCUAAGAUUCCUUCUAGUGCUUUUUAAAAAAACUAACAAAAAUAUGUAUUAACAGUUUAAACUACUUUUUAUUUAAAAAAAACCUUAAACAUUAAACUCUUAAUGAUUUAG